CCUUAGCUUUGUUUGUCUGUGUUGAAAUGCCUAAAAAUGUUUGCGGUUGCUUUUGAGAACUGAACUGAAAACAUUUGCCAGUCAUGCUGUUUUCUUUAUACAUCUCAUGAAGGCGGCAUUUCCAUUUUAUUAUGGCAUGUGUAACGCGCUCGCGUGGGCUCGACAAAUGUCGAACUGCUGGAUUUUUAUUGGGAUUGAAGUCUACGAAAGUGUCUUAAAUUGUUUUUCGGUGUUAAAGAUUCUUCUGUAGGCUAAAAUAAAUGGAGAAAGAUUCUUUAAGAUUCUCUACGAACUGGUGCAAAUAUUUUGAAUGAAUUACUUGGAUUUCUUAUUGGAGAGUAUUACAGCCCAGUAUUAUCGUUAUUCCCAAAAUAUAUAUGUUCGCUAGUGUAUUUAAUGUUUGGCUGUGCAAAAAUAGAUGUUUCUGCUGGAUUAAUACCAGG